GCUCUAAUCCUCAACAUUAAUUCCUCAUCAUUUGAAGACAAUCAGAAAAAGUUGGUACUUUAUGGAUUCGGCCAUGUUCUUUCAACUUUGUCAACAUUUGAAGAAUCACAUCUUUUCCUUUGUGAAUUCUAAGUUAUUCCUUCACCUCUUAAGGAUACCUCCAUGUAUUCUCUGGAUCUUCUUUUUUCCGUGAAUUCAAAAGGCUGAAAUUCAAGAGCUUGUAUAAUCUGAACCGUCUCUUACUAAUAUUGAGGUAGUGGAACAGUGCUUUGGACCUCAAUGCAAAAGUCAUGCAGUUAGAUUUGGUGGUGGGAUAACCACUAAGGAGUUGAAAGGAGGUAGUACUUCUAAGGCUGUGUUGUUGGAAGAACUGAAAACAACUCAAAAAGAAAAGGAAUCACUGCAAUUGUGUAUUGAUAUUCUAGAGAGUAAAUAUGAUCGCCUUGAAAAUAUUGUGGUUCAUCAGCAUCCAUCACCUCCACUAUGUUAGGAAACUUUUCAUUAGCUAUGCCAUGAUGUGUAUUUCUCAAUGAAUUUAGUGAUGUCAUUAACAAGUGCUCAUCUUUGAUAAGGGUUUUGCUAAUGCAGUGGUCUGUCUUUCUAUGAUAAGUUGAUUUUAGAGAGUAGGCAGUCUUCAGUUGUACUACUUUCCAUGAUGAACGAGUUUACAUGCUUAUAGAAUUAUGUAUAUCUCUGUCUCAAUCAGGAUGUAUUCCUAUAUUCUGAACUGAGUUUCUUUUUUGCAUGUUCACCCUAGUAUUUGUGUUGCGUGUUAAAUCUCUAUU
rnacentral:misc_RNA from 1 species